rnacentral:rRNA from 1 species
GGGGGAUAUUGCACAAUGGAGGAAACUCUGAUGCAGCAACGCCGCGUGAAGGAAGAAGGCCUUCGGGUUGUAAACUUCUUUGAUCAGGGACGAAGGAAAUGACUGUACCUGAAGAACAAGCCACGGCUAACUACGUGCCAGCAGCCGCGGUAAUACGUAGGUGGCAAGCGUUGUCCGGAAUUACUGGGUGUAAAGGGCGUGUAGGCGGGGAGGUAAGUCAGAUGUGAAAUUCCAGGGCUCAACCCUGGAGCUGCAUCUGAAACUAUCUUUCUUGAGUGCUGGAGAGGAAAGCGGAAUUCCUAGUGUAGCGGUGAAAUGCGUAGAUAUUAGGAGGAACACCAGUGGCGAAGGCGGCUUUCUGGACAGUAACUGACGCUGAGGCGCGAAAGCGUGGGGAGCAAAC